rnacentral:rRNA from 1 species
UACGGAGGGGACUAGCGUUGUUCGGAAUUACUGGGCGUAAAGCGCACGUAGGCGGAUUUGUUAGUCAGGGGUGAAAUCCCGAGGCUCAACCUCGGAACUGCCUUUGAUACUGCAAUCUCGAGUCCGGAAGAGGCAAGUGGAAUUCCCGGUGUAGCGGUGAAAUGCGCAGAUAUCGGGAGGAACACCAAUGGCGAAGGCAGCUUGCUGGGACGGUACUGACGCUGAGGCGCGAAAGCGUGGGGAGCAAACAGG